rnacentral:lncRNA from 1 species
UCUAAAUCUUCUUCUCUCGCUAGGCCAAGUCUCUCUCUGGUUUCUAUACCCUUCUAGCCCCCCCUCUUUCUCCUAUGUAAAGACAUCAUAGGAAACUAUAAAGGCGCCGUGCCAUAGAACUUCUCCUCCUUUACUCUUCCGCGUGAACAACCUUACUUGGAAGUGUAACGGUUGUACAUUGAUCACUGCAAAGACAUCAUAGGAAAUUGUUGGUAAUCAAUUAACCACUGACUUUUCCCUCUCUCAAUCUCUCUCCCCUCUAUAUCUAUAUCUCUGCCUCAGUCUCUAUCUAUUUAAUACUUUUCCCGUUUCUUUUUAUUCCAAUCGAUUCUCUGAGGGUUUUCUAUUUUCUCUUUACUCCAAUCGAAUAUGGAAUCAUAGGUAUGAUUAAUCUCAAAAAGUUUUAUUUUUUGAUUGCUAGUUGCUACAAAGUUUGUAUUGUAAAUGAUGGAUUAUUUCCCUCUAUAUAGUGAUAAUUUGAUACUUUUUCAUGUUAUUUAUUUUUUUAAUAAAUAUAUUAAUCCAAUCAAUUUAUCUUUUGUUGGUUCGUACUAGAUUAUGGAUGUUAAUGCCAUCAUCCAUGGACAAGGUACUGCUCAAGUAGCUGGACAAGAUAUUACUGGAACCCAAGUUACUGAGCAAGACACUGCCCAAGCCCAAGUCAUUGGCAAGCGUUGCCGCAAGAACAAAAAAGGUAAACCCCCCAAAUCACAUAAUGAUAAUGCGGGGGAAAAUGGUGGUGGGAGGGUACCAUCAAGAGAUUGGAAUUAUUUUAAUAAAUUAGAAUUAAAAAAUAGCAUAAGGAAAGCUUAGUGCAAAUAUCAUCAAAAUGUGUAUGUAGCCGAUUCCAAGUUUCAUGGGACAAGUAACCUAUUGAGUCAUGCUGCAACAUGUGCAAAAAAUUCUUACAAUACUGAAGUGAAGGGACAACAAACCUUGGGUUUUCAACCUAAAAAAGAUGGAAAAGAGGGUGUAGAACUUGUGUCCUUGAGCUUUUCAGUGGGAAGCUGCUAGAAGAGCUCUUGCUGAGAUGAUUGUAAUUGAUGAGUUAUCCUUUACGUUUGUUGAAGGAGUUGGGUUUAGGAGAUUUUGUGGUGUCUUACAACCUAAGUUUAAGACCAUCCUAUCUUGUACCAUCAUAACUCGAGACAUUGUGGGAAUUUUUAAUCGUGAGAAAGAUAAGUUAAAAAAAACAUUAAGGGGUCGUAGAGUUUGUCUAACCAUAGAUACAUGAACAUCAAUACAGAAUCUGAAUUAUAUGUGCCUUCCUGCUCAAUUUAUUGAUGAUGAUUGACAAUUUCAGAAAAGGAUAAUUAAUUUUUGUCAAGUUGAAGAUCAUAAGCGAGAUAUACUAGGUAAAAAAAUUGAAAUGUGCUUGUUGGAGUGGAACAAUGAUAGCACAUUUACCUUAACAGUAGAUAAUGCUAGUUCUAAUAACAAUACUAUCAAAUUCUUGAAGAGGAAAAUAAAAUAUUUGAGAGGGACUAUUUUGGAGCAUGAGUUUCUACAUAUGCGUUGCUUGUGCCCAUAUUUUGAUCUAAUUGUGGGUGAUGGAUUUAAAGAACUAAACACUCUAUUGCUCGUGUGCAUGAUAUUGUGAGAUAUGUUUGACAUCCAAAAUAGGCUUGAGGUUUUGUAAAAAAUGGGUAGAAAGCAAAAAAAAUGAAUGUAAGAGUUUGUUGUGCAUUGAUGGACCAAUUAGUGGAACUUACCUAUCUAAGUUGGAAGCAACUUGUAAAUUUGAGAGUGCCUUGAGAGAAUGGAGGAGGAUGACACUAAUUUCAAAUAUCCACUAUUUGGAUUAUGAUAUUGGUGGCGAUGAGAUUAUAAUAGUAUAAGAAGCGUAACUUCUGCUCUUUCAACAAAGCAGAUUGGAAUAAUGCAGGGGUUUUUGUGAAUUCUUAAAACUUUUCUACAAUGCAACGAAGCGGGUUUUAGGCUCUCUUAUGUAUCUCAAAUUAUUUUUGAUGAAGAUGAUUGUGAUUCCAAAAAAUUUCAACAAUUAAUCAAUAGAAAGAGAUUUAUUUUGUCUUCAAUGGCAAAAAAAAUGAAAGAAAAGGUGAAUAAGUUAUAUAUGAUGUGGUACUUGAGUCUCGAAAUAAGUUGAGUAUUUGAAAUUUUGUUUGUCACAAUUCUUCAAGAAAAAUUGUGAAUGAGAUAACUAGUCAAGUAAAUAUUUCUUGAUUCAUUUAUAUGAGGUUUAUGCUUUAAUAGAUAAGUAAUAACUGUGGAAGUGCCUAGUGCAAGUGAAGUUCUAAGUGGAGGUAGAUGAUGACGGUGAUGAUCCACAUGCACUUAUAGCUGUCCACUUUAGCUUUUAUCUGGAGGAGGAGUCAAGUGUGUGCCAAACUGAGUUGACAAGUAACAGGGAGACUACUGUGAAGGUGC